AGUGGUUUUCUCUCUGCUCCACUCCUUUCCCAGGUUUGCUCCAACUGAGUGCUAAAGAGUGGUUUUCCCGUGGUGGUGUGGGGAGUGAGCAGUGAGAGAAGAAGAAGUGUAGAGAAGCCCGGAGUCUAAGGUCACAUCUGCCCCAAACAACAAACUCUUAUUCCACUUUAUCAGUCAUGACUUCCUGCAAAAACAUGAUGGAAACUCUUGUUUGUUACGGGUACCGACCUCACAGAUCUACAGUUCCCACCAGUCUCAACAAACCAUAGUUCCCAGGAUUCUCCAGCUCCUGCCUGCCUCACAGCUGACCAAACUGUCAAAGCAAGCCUUCUUGCGGAAGGAUCAAUCCAACCCUGUCGGAUGAAAAAGUGGAUGAGUUUGUGCCCUUGAAGAACACGUUUUAGGGAUGCUUAACCACACCACAUCACCAGACAGUCAGGAGGAGGCCCUUCUUGGCACGCUGACAUGCCACCCCUUGGGCUGGAUGUAAGUAUGAAGGCAGGUAAGCUGGAAGAUGAGAGCUAGGUAAAAUCAGACAGAGGUUGGUGGAGUCAUACCUCAUUUGCCCUAAUGGACCAGCCUUCUGGUAGAACAACAGCUUCAGCAAGAUGACUGAGCAGAAAGGCCAAAGCUUCAGCAACAGGGAAAAGGAACAUUUUUUGAAUUGCUGACCUUUCAUUGCAGUGGGUGUAAGAUCUAACCCAGAUCCAUCCUCUAGCAUGCACAAAAAUCCCAGAGCUUGAGACAAAUGAAGACCAGAAUACUUCUCAGAGGGAGAAUUUGAAAGCUGUUGCUCUCUCAGCUCCACAGUCACGAAGCAAAAAAGCUGGGUUUAGCACUUAAAGGUAAGAACUAGACAUUCUGUCCAGACUGAUUCCUCAGUAA